GGUUCGGUGGUGUAGUGGUUAUCACGUCUGUCUCACAUCUAGAGCUCGCCUCGCAUGUGCACAGGAGGUCCCCGGUUCGAGACCGGGUCGAACCA